GUGCUCAUUUUGGCAGCACAUAUGCUAAAACUGUAAUGACAGAGAUCAGCAUGGCCCCUGUGCAAGGAUGACACACACUAGUAUUCCAUAUCGGA
ensembl:snRNA U6 U6 spliceosomal RNA